CAAUACUUCACAAACUACAUCAGUAAUAUUCCUUCUGUGGAAAUACUUGGGAAAAGUAUAAACUGUUAUCGUCUAUGAGUGGUAUAAAAUUAGCACUGCCUGAGAGAGAGAGGGAUGGACCACAUGACUUCGUGGAAGGUCAGAUGGUGGAAAGAACAUGGAAUCAGAAGCCACGAGACCACCAACAGGAAGAGUGUCCUGCCACAUAAGAAGCUGAGCUGACCAUGGAUCUUUCCAAGUCAGUGUUCUAUCACUAAAGGAUCAACUCAAGAAAUUCCAAAGAAGCCAGUUCCUGAAGAUAUGCAGGACCAGAAAGACAUCUUCUGUUUGUGAUCAACUGGCAAAGUCUGUCUAGGCAAGCCAAGACAAAACUGGACAUUUUUAAGCCAUCACCAGGAAAUGACAGGAAAUGCACUUUUCUCCUCCUUCCCCACACUAUCUAAACAGAAAUAGUUUUUUCAGCACCCCUUUUUUU